AGUGCAGGAGAGCGCCAACAUCAGCCCCUGCCACUACCAGGAAUCUGUGGAUGAGAGCGGAGUCCCUCACCUUAAUAUCUGUGAGGAGACUCCAGCCUACCCUGAUGACAACAUCUGUCAGGAGGAGGAAGACCUGAUAGUGCAGGAGAGCGCAGACAUCAGCCCCUGCUGCUACCAGGACUCUUCAGAUGAGAGUGGAGUCACUCACCUUAACAUCUGUGAGGUAUGGGCCAAAUAUUUUACAGGGAUCCAAAUGUGUUAAAAAGGGCUCAGUUUUUAUUGGA